GUGAUGUUGCUGCUGCUGCUGCUGCUGUUGGAGCAACUGUUGCUGAUGUGCUGCCACGGCGGCAUGGUACAUGUGUUGCUGUUGCUGCUGCUGCUGCUGCGCCUGGUGAUGCUGCUGCUGAGAAUGGCUGUGCUGCUGCUGUUGUUGCUGCUGCUGCUGCUGCUGCUGCUGCAAGGCAUUCAAGGCGGCAGCGGACAUGCCGUGGGAAAGGGACGACAUGUCAUAGCUAGCAUAACAGGCGGCCAUCGUCA
rnacentral:sRNA from 1 species